rnacentral:rRNA from 1 species
GAAUUCGCCCUUGGAGUUUGAUCCUGGCUCAGGACGAACGCUGGCGGCGCGCCUAACACAUGCAAGUCGAACGAGAGAAGAGAAGCUUGUUUUUCCGAUCUAGUGGCGGACGGGUGAGUAACACGUGAGCAAUCUGCCUUUCAGAGGGGGGAUACCGAUUGGAAACGAUCGUUAAUACCGCAUAAUAUAAUUGAACCGCAUGAUUUGAUUAUCAAAGAUUUAUCGCUGAAAGAUGAGCUCGCGUCCGAUUAGCUAGUUGGUGAGGUAAUGGCCCACCAAGGCGACGAUCGGUAGCCGGACUGAGAGGUUGAACGGCCACAUUGGGACUGAGACACGGCCCAGACUCCUACGGGAGGCAGCAGUGGGGAAUAUUGCACAAUGGAGGAAACUCUGAUGCAGCGAUGCCGCGUGAGGGAAGAAGGUUUUAGGAUUGUAAACCUCUGUCUUCAGGGACGAAAAAAGACGGUACCUGAGGAGGAAGCUCCGGCUAACUACGUGCCAGCAGCCGCGGUAAUACGUAGGGAGCAAGCGUUGUCCGGAUUUACUGGGUGUAAAGGGUGCGUAGGCGGAUUGGCAAGUCAGAAGUGAAAUCCAUGGGCUUAACCCAUGAACUGCUUUUGAAACUGUUAGUCUUGAGUGAAGUAGAGGUAGGCGGAAUUCCCGGUGUAGCGGUGGAAUGCGUAGAUAUCGGGAGGAACACCAGUGGCGAAGGCGGCCUACUGGGCACCAACUGACGCUGAGGCUCGAAAGUGUGGGUAGCAAACAGGAUUAGAUACCCUGGUAGUCCACACCGUAAACGAU